AAGAUAUGAAUGUGGGACGGCCGCUUUAAGGAGCGAUAAUAGGGAAUCCGGUGAAAAUCCGGAACAGUCAUCUCUGCUGUAACGUGGACGAAGAAGCGUGAUACCAUUGGAUAAAAUAAUCUGAGAAGGUGCUUUGGAGGGGGAAGCGAAGUCAGAAUACCUACCGUAGAAAGACGAUUCCU
rnacentral:ncRNA from 2 species